GAUGAAGAACGUAGCGAAAUGCGAUAAGUAAUGUGAAUUGCAGAAUUCAGUGAAUCAUCGAAUCUUUGAACGCACCUUGCGCCCUUUGGCUAUUCCGAAGGGCAUGCCUGUUUGAGUAUCAUGAACACCUCAACUCUUCACGGCUUGCCGUGAUGAGUUUGGACUUUGGGGGUCUUGCUGGCCUACGAGCCAGCUCCUCUCAAAUGUAUUAGCUUGCCGGUGUUUGGUGGCAUCACAGGUGUGAUAACUAUCUACGCUUGUGGUUUUCCACUAGGUAACCUUCAGCAAUGGAGGUUCACCGGAGCUCACAAAUGUCUCUCCUUGCCAAGGACAGAUUUUGACCAUUUGAUCUCAAAUCAGGUAGGACUACCCGCUGAACUUAAGCAUAUCAAUAAGCGGAGGA
rnacentral:misc_RNA from 1 species